rnacentral:rRNA from 1 species
CCUACGGGGGGCAGCAGUAAGGAAUAUUGGUCAAUGGACGCAAGUCUGAACCAGCCAUGCCGCGUGAAGGAUGACGGCCCUCUGGGUUGUAAACUUCUUUUAUCUGGGACGAAAAAAGGGCUUUCUAGCUCACUUGACGGUACCAGAGGAAUAAGCACCGGCUAACUCCGUGCCAGCAGCCGCGGUAAUACGGAGGGUGCAAGCGUUAUCCGGAUUUACUGGGUUUAAAGGGUGCGUAGGUGGGCAGGUAAGUCAGCGGUGAAAUCUCCGAGCUUAACUCGGAAACUGCCAUUGAUACUAUCUGUCUUGAAUAUCCUGGAGGUGAGCGGAAUAUGUCAUGUAGCGGUGAAAUGCUUAGAUAUGACAUAGAACACCAAUUGCGAAGGCAGCUCACUACGGGGUUAUUGACACUGAGGCACGAAAGCGUGGGGAUCAAACAGGAUUAGAUACCCCGGUAGUC